rnacentral:lncRNA from 1 species
AUUGUUGGUGGCCUUGUAUAGAUGCAAAAUAUAUAUUCCAUAGUGGCCUUGUAUAAGUAAAUGGAGGGAGACAAAGAUUCAAUAGGAGUCACACCAAUCACUUUAAGAUCUUCAUCAUUAUUAUCAAAAAACUAGAAGAACACGCUUUUUACAAACCAAUCUCGCUUAGCACGCAUCUUAGCGCUUCUUUCUUUAUGCUCAUCAAUAUAAAAUUUAAUGGCUUUUAGAUAUUCAUUAAUAUUAUGCUUGGGUGGCAUAGAUCUAAUUUUCAAAGAAUCAAUCUCAAGAGAAAUUCUAUCAACAUCCCUAGCCAAAUCAUCAAUCUUGAGCAAUUUUUCUUCAACCAUAACAUUGUUUUUUUGGGAAUUAUUGAAAUAUUUAAUAUUGUUCUCAAGAUCAGAGGGUAUUUUAUUAUAAUUUCCAUAAGAAUUUUUGUAGGAAUUACAUGAUUAUUAGAGGAAUUACUAGGAAACGACCUAGGGUUGAAAUUACCUCUAUAAGCGUUAUUACCAAAAUUGUUCCUUCAAACAAAAUUCACAUCCAUAAAUUCAUUAUUGUUCUCAAUCAAAGUAGACAAAUUCAUGUCCUUAGGAUCAAUAUGAGCACUCUUACUAGCAAUCAAUUUCAUAAGUUCAUCCAUCUUUCCACUCAAAGUAUUAAUUUCUUCAAUCGCAUGCACCUUUUUACUAGUAGAAGAUCUUUCAGUAUGCCAUUGAGAGUAAUUAGCCAUAAUAUUAUCUAGGAGUUUAGUAGCUUCUCCUAACGCAAUUUCCAUAAAAUUACCUCUCACAACGAAAUCUAAAAGAUUUCUAGAUGUAAAAUUCAAUCCAACAUAAAAAAAUUGUAAGAUCAUCCAUAAACUUAAACCAUGAGUAGGGCAAUAUCUUAUCAUCAAUUUCGUCCUCUCCCAUGAUUGUGCAACAUGUUCAUGAUCAAGUUUCUUAAAAUUCAUUAUAUCAUUUCUAAGGGAGAUGAUCUUAGCGGGAUGAAAAUACUUGUAAAUAAAAACAUCUUUACACUUGUGUCAUGAAUCAAUACUAUUUUUAGGCAAAUAUGAAAACCAAGUUUUAGCACGAUAUCGUAAAGAGAACAGAAAUAGCUUCAAUUCAACAAUAUCAUUAUCCACAUCUUUUUUCUUUUGCAUGUCACAUAACUCAACAAAAGUAUUUAGAUGGGAUGCGGCAUCUUCACUAGGAAGGCACAAAAUUGAUCUUUCGUAAAAAGAUUCAACAAAGCGGUAUGAAUUUCAUAAGAUUCCGCACUAGUGGCGGGAGCAACCGGAAUACUAAUAAAAUCAUUAUUAUUAGUAUUGGAAAAAUCACACAACUUGGUAUUUUCUUGAGACAUCGUGACAAGGCAAGCAAUCUAGCACACAGGUAAACAAAAGGCAAACGAAAAGACAAACGAAAGAAGGGCAAAUAAAAAGGCAAAUAUUUUUAUGUUUUUCUGAAAAUGUUUUAGAAGUGGGGGAUAGGAAAAGGAGAGGCAAAUGGAAAAUAAUGCAAUGCAACAGAUGUAAUUUUAUGAUGGGUACUUGUUAGGCUUGAUGUAGAACCUCCCCGGCAACGGCACUAGAAAUUCUUCCUGGUACUUCUUGAGCUUGCAUUGGUUUUUCCCUUGAAGAGGAAAGGGUGAUGCAGCAAAGUAGAGAUAAGUAUUUCCCUCAGUUUGAGAACCAAGGUGUAAGUGCAUCUAGUGCCCCUUAGUGAUUUUGGUGUAUUGAAGACUUAUAGGUUAAGGGACUAAUGCGUUUGUGAGUGUACACAGGUUUAUAAGUCUAUGAGGAGUUUGAUAUUUACAGAGAAAGUCGACCCCUAAAAAUGAAGUUCUUUGACCGAAGACUUUGGACCUCUGCAGACCUUCUGAAGACUUUGAAAGUGAAGAAAUUGGUGUGAACGUGAAGACUUGGUAUUCAUUCGAGGAACAUGAAGCAUGAAGACUUUUGUUUUUGUAGUUUCAUUUUCUCUUUCUUGAGUCAUAGGAAACACCGUACUGUUAAAGGGGGUCGAGGAAAUACUAAGGAAAAAUUUCCAUGUGAUGCUCAACUCAAAAUCCUACACCUACCAAUCCCUUCGAGUGAAGCCAUUGGAAAUCUCAUACAGUUCAGUCAAUUUCUUCAGUGACAGAGACGAAGUUCCUCUGGUCUCUGAGGAAUUUGUCCUGACUGAGGAGUUAGGAAUUCGCCAGUGCGGAUUACCUACACAGUGAGGAACAUGAUAGCCCUGAGGAUUUUGCUACUCAAAAUUCCGACCGUUGAUGUGCUAUGCGCCAACUGUCUCAAAAUAUCUAUCCACCUAACGGUCAUAUCAUUAAAGGGCAUUUAUGUCUUAUCAUGUCAGGCUGCUCCCUAGGCUAUAAUAGACGCCCCCUACAACCACUAGUUGGUUGGCUGCUCCGAGAGAAACUAACACUUGUCAUUUGAGAGCAACCCAUCCUCCGAGGAAUUUGAGCAAAAAUCAUCAAGUGAGGAAAAACCGAAAAACCCAAAACCUAAACACCUACAAACCCCAAGUGAUUAAGCAUCACUGAAGAGAUUGAUCCUGCGUGGAUCCGACGCUUGUUACCUUUGAAGACUGUGCUUCUUCCAGACGAUUAGGCGUCAUGGUCUAGAGCAUCCAAGAGGAAUUGUGGAUCGCCGAGUGACCAAGUUUGUGAAGAUUUGGAAGUCACCUGAAGACUUACCACGAGUGAUUGGACGAGGUCUGUGUGACCUUAGUUCAAGGAGAAUACGGUGAGGACUGGGUGUCCUGAGCUGCGUGUUCAGGAUUGGCUGUCCGGGACUGUGUGUCCUCGAGUUUAAAUACCCAGCCGCUCCAACCAGACAUACAACUGAGACAGCAGUUGGAACUGGUCUACCAAAUCAUUGUCUUCACCAAGCUUACUGGUUCCAUUUCCUCAACUCUUUCAUUUCCUCAUAAUUGAGUUGUGUACUUGUUCAUAUAUGUGUUUAAAGACUUUGACUGAAGGCUUUCUCAAUUUCCUUAGUUCAAUUUCAUCAGUCUAUCUGUCUUCAUCCUGUGUUAUCCUGUGCUUACGCUUUCUGUACUCUGUGCCUGUCUUCAUUUCAUCAUGAUGACUAUGCUUGUAUUCUGUUAUGUUUACUUUUGAGUACUUAUUCCGCUGCUAGUAGUUCUUCGCUAAGGAAUUUCCUCACCAGCAAAUUCCUCAGUGAAGAAUUUCAUAAAAAUUGCCUAUUCACCCCUCUCUAGUCGAUAUAACGCACUUUCAAUUGGUAUCAGAGAAAGGUACUCCCUUGUUCUGUGUGAUUUUGGUUUAACCGACUGGAGUUUUAGUUAUGUCGACCACAGGUAUGAUCAAGGUCUCUGCUGGGUGUCCUACCUUCGGUGGGACGGACUACCCCUACUGGAAGAAUAAGAUGCGAAAGCAUCUUCAAGCAAUUGAUAACAAUCUCUGGUAUGUUGUGGAAAAUGGUGUUCCCUUAGUCACACCUUCUCUGAAUGCUGCUAUUGUGAAGAUAUUCAAGCAACUCGACUCUCAAGCGAAGAAUAUCAUAUGUGGCCAUCUGAGCAAAGGACAGUAUGGCAGAGUGAGUGCUUUGGAGACAGCGAAGAUUAUCUGGGACAGGUUGUCCAAAGUGAAUGAAGGAGUCUCAACUCAUCAUGACUCUCGAGUUGAUGUUCUUCGCAAUCUCUUCAACUGCUUCAAAAGACUCGACAAUGAAAAUGUUCAACAAACCUUUGAUCGCCUCACUGACAUCUCAAAUGAGCUUCAAGCACUUGGUGCCACUGACAUCAUCGACCAUGAGGUGGUGAAGAAAUUGCUAAGAUCGCUUGAUUCCUCAUUUGACACUUUGGCAUUGAUGAUACAAGAACGUGCUGAUUACAAGUCACUUGAUCCCGCUGAUAUUCUCGAAAGGCUAGAUACUCAUGAGUUCCAACUUGCUGAAAAGAGAGAUCUCUAUGGUUCAAGCUAUGGCAGGACCCGUGCACUGAAGGCCAAGGCAGUAUCUGAGUCCGAAGAUGAAGACUCUGGUAGCAGCCUUGGUGAUCCUAAAGAACUAAGCCAUGAUCUGGCUCUGCUUGUGAAGAAGUUCCAAAAGUUCUCAAGACGUGGUCACCUUGGAAGACCCUCAAGGAGCAGUGAUUCCUCAUCCAUUGACUACAAGAGGAGGCUCUGCCACAAAUGCAAGAAGCCUGGACAUUACAUUCAAGAUUGUCCUCAAUGGGAAAAGGAAUCAAAGAAGAAGAAAUACAAGGAUUAUAGUUCUGAUGAUGCGAAAAAAAGAAGAAAUCCACAAAAUCCUCAUCAUCAAAAUCCUCAAGGCCUUCAUAUCACAAGAAGAGCAGCUCCAAGAAGGUCAUGGCAUUCAUUGGCAAGGAAAUGGACUCUGAGGCUGAAUCUGAAGAAAAUGAGGAAGAGGAGUCAUCUGAGGAGUCUGAAUCUGGAGUGGCGAGCCUAACUCUCGCUACUGCAUUCGUCAGCAAGUCUAUCUUCGACACUAAAGAAAAUGACCUCACCAACAAAGCUGAUGAAGGGGAUGAUGACUACGCUCCCACCUAUUGCUUCAUGGCAAAGGGUGCCAAGGUACUCAAAUAUACCUCAUCUGAAUCAAGUGAGAAUGAAUCUGAUGAAAACCUUAAGCCCAGCUAUUCUAAACUUGCUAAAAUUGUUGUAAAACAACAAAGGGCUUUAGAAAAGGUUCAAAACAUGCUAGACAAAAGUGAUGAUAUGUUGGGUGAAGAAAUGGAUCGCACUAAAGCCUUGACUGAAAAUCUUCAGAGAUUUCAGACUAGGCUUGACAAUCUUCAAAGUCAUCAAAACACUCUCUUAUCGGAUCAUGAGAAGCUUUCUUAUGAAUUUCUUCAAAGAAAGCAAGACCUUGAGAAGCUAAGAGUGAGUUAUGAAGAUCUUCAGAAGGAGCGUGAUUCAUUACUUUCUCAACAUAUCAACGCUUCUCAGGAAGAAUUUGUUCCUCCAUGUUUGAAAUGCAUUGAACGUGAAACUGCUAAUUCUUCACCUGAAUGUUCAAAUGGUGCUAAUGUUUCAAAUUCUUCACAUGCCUCUGCUAUCACUAAUUCCUCAUCUGAGGACAUUGCUAGCAUCACUAACGAUGCAGGGCUGAAGGAAUUGUACAUGACAGGCAUGUACAAAAGCCUCAAAGGGCAUCAGACUCUUUGUGAUGUGCUUAAAAAGCAGAUCCUCAACAGGUACCCUAGGAAAGAGGGUAUUGCCUUUGAGAGGAAACUCAACGCUGAUGGUACAUAUUGGAAGCCUGAGCAGUACCCCAAAACUACAUGGGUUGCUGCAAAGGGACCUCCAGUUGAUCCAUCUAACCUAUCUUGAUAUGCAUGUGAAUCCCUCAUUCUGAUGAUGAGUCAUUUGACUCCAACUACAAACUGUUCAAAAAUCAGAAUGGUGAAGUAUUUGCUAGAUAUGUUGGCACUAACUGCAGGAACGGUCCCCCUAUGAAGAAAAUCUGGGUUCCCAAAAGAUGCCUUGAAAAUCUUCAGGUGAAUGUCAUCAUGACGCCACCUGUGAAGAAUAGGAACCCCAUAUCAAAUUCUUCAUAUGGAUCAAAGUCCUCAUAUGAACAUCAUCGUGCUAACCUGUCUGUUUCGCAGGGAAGAUCUAAGGAUUAUGGAUAUGUGCAUUAUUCUUCAAAUCAUUAUGUCCAUAAGUCCUCAAAGAAUUUCUCUGCUUACUCUUAUGCUUACUCUAACCCCUCUUAUGUGAAACGAAAUGGACUGGCUUCUAUGCCAUCCUUCUCGUAUGGAGCUCGCAGAAUGAUGAACUCUUUGCCACCCCUUCAAAUGUGGGUGGUGAAGAAAAAGAAAUAAUCUCUUCUGCAGGGUCAGGUCUCCAUACGUACAUAAUCGUCUGAAGAAUUUGCUGGAGACCUGAGUGUGCCUGAUAGGACGCAGGCUAAUCAUGAAGAAAUGAACUUUCAUUUCUCACGUCCUCAUAUUGCUUUAUCUGUUCUUUUGCUUGAUGAAAUUGAUCUGAUGAAUUGAUAUCAUAUUCUUCAUUGAUGAAGUAUAUGAGUUUGUAAGUUGCACUAAUUCAUCUGCAGGAUGAUCAACCCAAAGCCACUGAAUGGGUCCUCGAUAGUGGAUGUACAAAUCACAUGACUAGUGACAAGAAUCUAUUGAUGGAUGCUCCAUUGUCUCUGUCACAUCUGAAGCAUAUCAUCUUUGCUGACAAAGGCAAAAGUCAGGUAUUGGGUCUAGGUAAGGUUGCAAUCACAAAGGAUCGACACAUGGACAAAGUCAUGCUUGUUGAGUCCUUAGGAUACAACCUUAUGUCUGUCUCAAUGCUUUGUGAUCUUGAUAUGGUUGUUGUCUUUGGCAAGUACUGUUGUGUUGUGGUUAUGGAAGCUGACAAUUCCAAAGUCUUCGAAGGCUUUAGGAGAGGAGACCUGUAUAUUGUUGAUUUCUCUACAGGACCACAACCAGCCAUGUGCUUACUUGCAAAAGCUUCAGAAGGCUGGCUCUGGCAUCGACGACUUGGUCAUGUAGGCAUGAGGAAUUUGCACACGCUUGCAAAGAAGAAGCAUGUCAUUGGAAUCAAGAAUGUCAAAUUCCUCAAGGAUCACCUAUGCGGAGCCUGUGAAGCUGGGAAGAUGACGAAGGCCAAGCAUCCAACGAAGACUAUCAUGACCACCACUCGCCCAUUUGAAUUGCUUCACAUGGAUCUCUUUGGUCCUAAUUAUUAUUCUGCUAUUUCAAAUGAAGCAUCUCAAUAUGGGUAACCUUGUUACUUACAAACAUGAAGUGCAGGAAGUCUUCAAACGAUUUUCCUCGAGGGCUUCAACCAACUUUGGUGUGAAGAUCAAGCACAUCAGAAGUGACAAUGGCACCGAGUUCAAGAAUUCUGGUCUCGAUGACUAUCUUGAUGAACUUGGUAUUACUCAUGAGUUAUCUGCUCCUUAUACUCCUCAGCAGAACGGCGUCGUGGAGCGCAAGAACAGGACUCUUGCUAAGAUGGCUCGCACUAUGCUUGAUGAAUACAAAACGCCUCGUCGUUUCUGGACUGAGGCAAUUGAUACUGCGUGCCACAUCAUCAACAAAGUAUAUCUUCACAAAUUCUUCAAGAAGACUGCCUAUGAACUCCUCACUGAUAAGAAACCCAAUGUAAGUUAUUUCAAAGUCUUCGGUGCUAAAUGUUGGAUUAGAGAUCCUCAUCACAACUCAAAAUUUGCACCGAAAGCACAUGAAGGUUUUAUGCUUGGUUAUGGAAAGGACUCGCACACCUACAGAGUCUUCAACAACGUUCCUCACAAGGUUGUUGAAACUGUAGAUGUGCGGUUCGAUGAAACUAAUGGCUCGCAAAGAGAGCACCUACCUACUGUGAUAGAUGAACCAGCACCUGAAGAAACUAUCAAGUUCAAGGCUACUGAGGAUGUCAUUCCCACUGAAGAAUCUGCUAAAGAAUUCAUUCCAGAACAUGAAGAACGUCGAGCUAAUGCACCUGAAGAAAUUGGUGCUGAAGAAAACGCUGAUCAAAUUCUUCAACGACAACCAGCUCAUCCUUGCAUUGCAAAAGAAGUGCAAGUUGAAAAGAUCAUCAAUGACAUCAAAGCGCCAGGUCCUCUCACACGCUCAAAAGCUUCACAUUUGUCUAACUUUUGUGGGCACUAUGCUUUUGUCUCUAUUACAGAGCCCACUAAGGUAGAUGAAGCAUUUCUGUAGCCUGAGUGGAUUCAGGCCAUGCAAGAAGAAUUACAUCAGUUCGAGCUCAACAAUGUCUAGGAACUGGUCAAACGUCCAGAUCCUCGCAAUCACAAUAUCAUCGGCACAAAGUGGAUCUACUGCAACAAGCAAGAUGAAAAUGGCCUUGUGGUGAGGAAUAAGGUACGACUUGUAGCUCAAGGCUACACACAGGUUGAAGGAAUUGAUUUCGAUGAAACUUUUGCACCUGUUGCUAGACUUGAGGCUAUUCGCAUAUUACUUGCUUAUGCUAACCAUCAUGAUAUCAAUUUAUAUCAAAUGGAUGUGAAACGUGCAUUCCUCAAUGGUAAGCUUGAGGAAGAAGUAUAUGUUGCUCAACCCCCAGGUUUUGAAGAUCCAAAGAAUCCUGACAAAGUCUUCAGACUCAACAAGGCCCUCUAUGGCCUCAAGCAGGCCCCACGGGCGUGGUAUGAUACUUUGAAGGAAUUCCUCAUGACGAAAGGCUUCAAACCCGGUUCACUCGACCCUACUCUUUUCACUAAAUCUUAUGAUGGUGAAUUGUUUGUGUGCCAAAUAUAUGUUGAUGAUAUUAUCUUUGGUUGUACUGACCAACGUUAUAGUGAUGAAUUUGCCUAUAUGAUGAGUGAAGAAUAUCAAAUGUCUAUGAUGGGAGAGCUGAAAUUCUUCUUAGGACUUCAAAUUCAUCAACAACGCAAUGGCAUAUUCAUAUCUCAGGAGAAAUACCUCAAGGAUGUACUGAGGAAAUUCGGCAUGCAAGAUUGCAAAGGCGUCAAAAUUCCUAUGCCCACAAAUGGCCAUCUGUGCACUGAUGAAAAUGGUAUUGACUUCGAUCAUAAGGUAUACCGCUCCAUGAUUGGUUCUUUAUUGUACUUAUGUGCAUCUAGGCCAGAUAUAAUGCUUAGUGUUUGCAUGUGUGCCCGAUUUCAAGCUACACCGAAGGAAUCACACCAUAAGGCUGUGAAGCAUAUUCUUCGAUAUCUAGCUCACACACCAACACUUGGAUUAUGGUACCCCAAGGGCUCGGUUUUUGAUCUCAUUGGAUAUUUUGACUCUGACUAUGCUGGUGAUCGUGUGGACCGCAAGUCAACAUCUGGUACAUGGCAAUUCCUCGGAUGAUCCUUGGUCUGUUGGUCCUCGAAGAAACAGAACUGCGUAUCACUGUCUACUGCUGAAACUGAGUACAUUGCCGCUGGUUCUUGCUGUGCCCAAUUGCUAUGGAUGAAGCAAACUCUCAAGGACUACGGCGUCAACAUGAAGAAUGUGCCUCUCUACUGUGACAAUGAGAGUGCCAUCAAGAUUGCUCAUAACCCAGUUCAGCACUCGAAGACAAAGCACAUUCAGAUUCGUCGACAUUUUCUUCGUGAUCAUGUGUUGAAGGGCGACAUUUCUAUUGAGCAUGUGAAGACUGAAGAACAUCUAGCCGAUAUCUUCACAAAGCCCUUGGAUGAGAAGAGAUUUAGCAAGUUGCGGUGUCAGCUAAAUAUCCUAGAAUCUUCGAAUGUUCUUUGAAAAGGACACUCAUCCUAACACUUAUGCAAAAUUGAUGGCUUAGAUGUGCAACAUAUGAAGAAAUGUUUUUCUUCAAUUCAAUGAAGAACAACACUCUUAGUGUGAAGAAAUUAACGAAGAAUUUAAUUCUCAGAAUCCUACGAUAAUUGUACGCGGUGUCUGAAAUCAUCAUUCUUAUACGGUGGGUCACGCCACCACCAAAAGUUGAAAUUCCUCAAUUAUUCAUAUUCUUCAACUUUGCAUUGUCUUCACUACUUCCAUUGUUUUUCUUCAUUGGCUAUAUAUAUAUAUAAGUUUAUGUCCUCUACAACAUUCACUUAUUGCUAAUUCUUCAAGUUGGUUUUUCUGCUAAGUGAAUGUGAUCGGACCCUUCCCCCUCUAUGCUAUACUCAACCCAAUCUAUUCACAAAUUCUUCAUGUGCGUUCUAUUUGAAACUCGUUCAAAAUCUUCACUGUGUCCUUGUCAGCUGAAGAAAUUGCGAACGGAACUUUAAAACCUAUCUUAUCGAAAUUUUUGGCUUUGCACUCAAACCGUUCCGCAUCCCACGUUAUACUUAUCCACUCACCCAUGAUCUAACACAAUCUCCACCUCUCAGUACGUGGGUGACACAUGUCAAGCGAAUGAGAAGGGUCAGGGGCACGUUCGUCCAAUUUCUUCGGGCGAGCAGUUUUUCACCGUGGCUAUAAAUACCCCUCCGUCCCUUCCUCACUUCUUUUACUCCGCUCGACCUCUCUAUCCAGCUCGAGCUUCUCAAACCCUAACGCCGCCGCUAAUUCAUCGCCGCCGGUGAGGAAGAGCUUCACUGCCUCGACCUCGUCGCCGACGUACUCGCGCCGACCGUGGAAAUCUUCACUCCGUCGCCGCCGUAGCCGUCUUCCUCCGCCAAGUUAGGGCGUGGAAGAUCUGCACAGACGAACUUCACAUCUCCUCACUCCAGUUCGUCAUGUUCUUCAUCCAGGGUAAUUAAAAGUUACUUUUACUGCCCUUGUUGAUUCGAGUGAUUAUCUUCAAAAUCUUCAAAGGUGUUUUUCUUCAUAGCUUCACACACUAAACACCUCACAAGUCAUCUAUUCUUGAUUCGUUUCUCUAAGCAUCAUUUUUCUUCAAGAUUCCUCAAUUGUGUGGAUCUUCGAUCUAUACAACUCUGGAACCUAAGACAAAGAACGCUUAGUGAAAUUCUUCAAGACUCAUCUGGUCAAAUUCCUCAAAGUUGUUCUUUUUGAAAAACCCUCUGAGAACGCAUAUGACCUCUCCAAAUUCCUCGCAACUAUACUCUGUUCACAUGUACACAUGUCAGCUGCUGAAUCGCUAGGUUCUCAUCAACUUAACUCAUUCGCAGCGUUCCUCAAAGAAAAGUUGCAUACUUCUUCAGAGAAUUCAAUUGUCCAAAUUCCUCAACUGAAGAAAAUGGCUGACGCUAAGAAGCCAUAGAAGGGAGGAAAGAGGCCUGAGGUCAAUACAGCAUUUGAGAUCCCUGAUGAAAUAUAUGCUGGGUACUGCACACCUACUGAGGAAACCAAGAAUGAGCGCAAGGUGCGCAUUCAGAAAAUAGAAAGGAGAUGUGCAAGAGAGUGGAGGGAGUACAAGUAUGUAACUCCAAAGUAUAUGAAGAAAUUCACACUCAAUCCUCCAUGCCCAAGAGCUCCAUUGGCACCUGGCCAAAUCGCUGAUCCCACCAGCCUCAAGUGUGGUGAGGACUAUCCUGAUGAAUGGGCCAAGCGCCAAGCCAAGUUGGCUAAGCAAGCCAAAGAAGCAGUGGGGAAAUUCAAUGAAGCCUCUGCUGAGGCUCUUGUUGUCAAGCCAAAGAAGGCUAUGUCAAAGAAGCCUGCGUGCAAGCCAAGUGCUUCACCAACAAUGUACUCAAGGCCAAGUUCUUCAGCAAUGCCCUCACGGCCAGAAUCCUCAAAGCCCUCACGAUCAAUUCCUCAUGCUGCUCCUGCUCCUCCAAAGUCCUCAGCUCCCCCGCCAAAGCCCUCAGCUGUUCCGACUAAAUCCUCAGCACCUGUGCAUCUCGCCUCGUGCCAAAGGACUGCAGGCAUCUCCAUUGCCUCAGGUGUCUCAGCUAGUUCCUCAGCUGCACCAAGUUCCUCAGCUGGCCCCUCACUGCUCAAGACAAAGGCCACUGCUGGACGAGGUCCUCGACCAAGUCCUCAAAAGAAGCAAGUCGCGUUCCAAGUGCCGUCUGAUGAAGACAAAGCUGAUGAUGAUGAACUUGCAGAAAUCAUCAGAGAUAGGCAAGUCAGGGCCGCUAGAGCCAAAGGAACAGGGGUGCCACUGCUUUUGGAUCCCAAGUUGAUUCUUGACUACAUUGAUGUUUGGCACAAGGACCCCAACACUCCCAUGUUUGACUUCAAGCUGACUCCUGGCCAAAGUCACAUGCUGACCCACUUCAUUCAAGAAGAAAAGUGGAAUUUUGAGAAGCCCGGGCAGACCAAGAAAGCGCAGUACAAGAAAGAGCGCUAUCUGAAGAAAAACGUUGUCUCUAUGACAACUGAAGAACUUGUCACUAUUCAGACUGAGAUCAAGAAACUCAGUGAUGACUUUGACGUAUAUCGCGCUGAUUGGCUUGGAACCAAGGUUCGCUUUGUGAAACUUGCGGAUAACUUCACUUCCAAUGUUGCAACCCCAACGCAACAGGAAAUUCCCCAGGCUGAAGCAUCCGCUCAGCCUACUGAAGAAAAUGCCAGCACCGCUGAUGACAAUCAGGCUGCUAAAGAAAAUGUGAGUUCCAGGGCUGAUGACUGCAUUCCAGCCGCUGAAGAAAUUGCCAGGGCACCCACUAGUGGUGCGCCUGAAGAAAAUGAAGAACUCAGGGCAACUGCAUCAGUUGUGCCUGAAGAAAAUCAACCAGAUUCCUCAGCUGCUCCUACACCAACUUCAACUCCAAUCCUUCCAUCUGCAUCAGAUGUGAAGAAGACCAAGGCUGCAGAGCGUGCUGCAGUGAAGAAAACGAAAGCAUCAGCUGCUUCAGAUUCUUCAGCUCCGAAGAAAAUGAAGCCUAUGACAAGUUCAUUUGCAAAUCCCAUUGAUGCUAUUCCCAUCUCAACCAGGCCAUCAAAGGACCUUGUUCCUUUUGAUGAAGAAACUCCUUCUGCUGCUUCGUCUGAGCCGUUGGAUGAAGAAAUUGAAGUGGAUGCGAUCCCUUCAACACCUGUCAUCUCCUCACCCAUGCCUUAGUUCACAUCUGAAGAGGCUGGCGUUGAAGAAAUGGAAGAUGAAGAUGUGGACAUUGGCUGCUCCACACCCAUAAUCAGUGAUGAAUUCUGGGACAGUCAACAUCCAAACUCUCCAAUUUUCACACCGCUGCAGCAAAUACCUCAGUCGCCUGCACCAACUGUUCAAAUGGGCUCUGAAGAAACUCAUCCCACUGCAUCUGUCCAUGAGGAAAUUCCAGCCACUAGCGCUGAAGAAACUGCUGCUGCUGAACAACCAACGACACAGACUGCCAUUGAGGAGGAACCAGAAAUUCCUCAGCCUGAAAAACCUGCGAUUGAGAUUCCUGAGGUCGUGAUGCAACUCACUGACACUCCUCUGCCGAAGCCAAAGGAUCCAUUCUCACGCAAGCAAAAGUUCAAGGCUGAUAAUUUCUUCGGCGAGCACAUAUUCUUCAAAGAUUACAACCCAUAUAACUCUGCUCGCAUUAGGAAGAGGCGUUUCUGGACUGCUAGUUAAGCCAAUUUCUAUUCCUCAGUGCUGUUUAACAAGGAGAAAAUCUUCUACCAUGAGCAUAUUCCUCACGUGGAUAUGGAAUCUCUGCCGUGCUUCGCACCAGUCCUCAGUGUUCUUCACGACGCUGGACUGCUAAACAUUUGCUCUGACAUGUGCGAUUGGAAUGAAGAACUGAUUCUUCAAUUCUAUGCAACGCUGCACAUCACCGGAGAUGCUGAAGAUGUGAAUUCAUGGGUGCUGGACUGGAUGUCUGAAAACACUCACUACACUGCACCAGCCUCUGAAUUGCUUCGUGCUCUACCACUCAGUCCUCCCCUUGAAGAAGCUCGCUGCAUCUACAGUGAACCUGAGCUCACACAUCAUUACAUGCAGGUGCUGAUGAAACCUUUGAAGCCAGGUCAAGCACCAAGAACCAAAUUCCUCGUGAAGGAAUUGAUGUACGUGCCCAGAACUGUCUAUCAUAUUUUUACGAGGACAAUCAUUCCUAUCAAAGGCCACGACUCAUCUGAUGAGGAAAUUGUUGGCAUCAUGAAGAAUCUAGUAUUCAACAUCGUUCAUGGCAUUCCUGUCAAUUAUCACGAUUUCUUCAUGAGGACUAUGGCAAAUGUUGCACUGUCUCCGUUUGAGCUGAAGCCUUAUGCACCUUGGAUUAUGAGAUUCCUCAGGACAAGGUCUUCACUCAACUACAAAGCUGAUUUCCAGAAUCACCUCAACUACUUGCCCCCAAUUGAAGUCCUCAAGCAGACAUAUUCCUCAGUUAAUGGAAAGGGCAAGGCACCAGCUGUAAUAGAUGAAGGCAUUCGUCCAUUGGAUGGUCAGUUUCGCAAAGCUGCAUCUUAUUCCACCAAUGAUGACUUUGCCACACAUGACUCUGCCAAUGCACCCAAGUCUACUCCUCAAGCCACUGCUCCGCGCGUGAUGACUGACCGUGAACUUCUGCUUAGUCUUCACCAGAAGGUGGAUCAAAAUCACAAAUGAGUUAAGCGUCAGUUUGGUUCACUUCUUCACAACAUGACUGCGACACACGAUGCAGUGAAGAAAAACCAUUACUACCUCCAUCAAGUCUUCGGUCGCACCUGGGCAAUCCUGUCACAUCUGUAUGGUGAAGAAGAUCUGAAGAAAAUGGGUCUCAAAGAAGAUUUUGACUGGUUUGCACCUCCACCGAAGAAAUUCAAGAAGGUCAAGGUUCCUUCUUUGGUGGCCAGCUCAUAUUCUUCAUCGCGCGACACCGAUGAAAAUGAAGACUUGGACGAAACUGCGGCAGGCCCUACUACAACAAAUGACCCCAACAACGCUGGUGCUCCUUCAUCAACUUGAUAUUCUUCAGGGGCGUUAGUCCUCAUAUUCGAUCCUUUUGGUCAUUUGAUGACAAAGGGGGGGGGGAGAAUUUUGAGUUAGUCUUCAAGCGGGUCUUUCUAUAUGGGCAUUUUUUUGUUAAGUUACAACUCUCGUUCUUCUGAGACUUUAUUGGAUCAAGUUGUAAACUUAAACCCGAUGGUGCUCUAAUACUCUUGUACGUUUUUCUACAUGCUUAUUCCUCAUUAAUAUUAUUGCACGCAUGCUGAAUUACAUCAGUCACCAUAUUUCAUCAUGCAUUUCAAAUUCUUCACUGUUAUAUGUCAAAUGCGUGUAUGAAUUACAAGAUAUAGGGGGAGAUCUCCAUGAUUCAACUCUUCAAGUGUGCAUUGCUUCAAGAGCAAAUUCCUCACUAUGCACAUCUUCAGGGGGAGUUCUUGUAUAUCUUGCAAUCAAAUUCCUCAAUAUCAGUAGUUACACUUCAUAUGUUUAUCCCCAUUGAAAACUUAACCUAUAUUGUCAUCAAUCACCAAAAAGGGGGAGAUUUUAAGUGCAUCUAGUGCCCCUUAGUGAUUUUGGUGUAUUGAAGACUUAUAGGUUAAGAGACUAAUGCGUUUGUGAGUGUACACAGGUUUAUAAGUCUAUGAGGAGUUUGAUAUUUACAGAGAAAGUCGACCCCUAAAAAUGAAGUUCUUCGACUGAAGACUUUGGAUCUCUGCAGACCUUCUGAAGACUUUGAAAGUGAAGAAAUUGGUGUGACCGUGAAGACUUGGUAUUCAUUCGAGGAACAUGAAGCGUGAAGACUUUUGUUUUUGUAGUUUCAUUUUCUCUUUCUUGAGUCAUAGGAAACACCGUACUGUUAAAGGGGGUCGAGGAAAUACUAAGGAAAAAUUUCCAUGUGAUGCUCAACUCAAAAUCCUACACCUACCAAUCCCUUCGAGUGAAGCCAUUGGAAAUCUCAUACAGUUCAGUCAAUUUCUUCAGUAACAGAGACAAGUUCCCCUGGUCUCUGAGGAAUUUGUCCUGACUGAGGAGUUAGGAAUUCGCCAAUGCGGAUUGCCUACACAGUGAGGAACAUGAUAGCCCUGAGGAUUUUGCUACUCAAAAUUCCAACCAUUGUUGUGCUAUGCACCAGCUGUCUCAAAAUAUCUAUCCACCUAACGGUCAUAUCAUUGAAGGGCAUUUAUGUCUUAUCAUGUCGGGCUGCUCCCUAGGCUAUAAAUAGCCGCCCUCUACAACCACUAGUUGGUUGGCUGCUCCGAGAGAAACUGACACUUGUCAUUUGAGAGCAACCCAUCCUCCGAGGACUUUGAGCGAAAAUCAUCAAGUGAGGAAAAACCGAAAAACCCAAAACCCAAACACCUACAAACCCCAAGUGAUUGAGCAUCACCGAAGAGAUUGAUCCUGCGUGGAUCCGACGCUUGUUACCUUUGAAGACUGUGCUUCUUCCAGACGGUUAGGCGUCAUGGUCUAGAGCAUCCAAGAGGAAUUGUGGAUCGCUGAGUGACCAAGUUUGUGAAGGUUUGGAAGUCACCUGAAGACUUACCACGAGUGGUUGGACGAGGUCUGUGUGACCUUAGUUCAAGGAGAAUACGGUGAGGACUGGGUGUCCUGAGCUGCGUGUUCAGGACUGGGUGUCCGGGACUGUGUGUCCUCGAGUUUAAAUACUCAGCCGCUCUAACCAGACGUACAACUGAGACAGCAGUUGGAACUGGUGUACCAAAUCAUUGUCUUCACCAAGCUUACUGGUUCCAUUUCCUCAACUCUUUCAUUUCCUCAUAAUUGAGUUGUGUACUUGUUCAUAUCUGUGUUUGAAGACUUUGACUGAAGACUUUCUCAAUUUCUUUAGUCUGUUUGUCUUCAUCCUGUGUUAUCCUGUGCUUACGCUUUCUGUACUCUGUGCCUGUCUUCAUUUCAUCAUGAUGACUAUGCUUGUAUUCUGUUAUGUUUACUUUUGAGUACUUAUUCCGCUGCUAGUAGUUCUUCGCUAAGGAAUUUCCUCACCAGCAAAUUCCUCAGUGAAGAAUUUCAUAAAAAUCGCCUAUUCACCCCCCUCUAGUCGAUAUAAUGCACUUUCACAAGGUAUCAAUCCAGUAGGAGGUACACGCAAGUCUCCAAUCUAUGCACAUACACAAACAAUCAAACAGUUGCACCCAACGCGAUAAAGCGGUUGUCAAUCCCUUCAGGUCACUCGCAAGGAUGAGAUCUGAUAGAUAUACAUAUAAAAGAUUACUAAAAUGUAAAGCAAAGUAAAAACAAAUAAAUUGUAGCAAGGUAUUUUUGAGUUUUUUGGUUUAUAGAUCUGAAAAUAUAUGAUGUAAAAUAGACCCGGGGGCCAUAGGUUUCACUAGAGGCUUCUCUCUUGAAAGAAAGCAUACGAUGGGUAAACAAAUUACUGUCGAACAAUUGGUACAAAAGCGCAAAGUUAUGACGAUAUCCAAGGCAAUGAUUAUGAAUAUAUGCAUCACGCCCGUGUCAAGUAGAACGAAAUGAUUCUACAUCUACUACUAUUACUCCACACAUCGACCGCUAUCCAGCAUGCAUCUAGAGUAUUAAGUUCAUAGGAACGGAGUAACACCUUAAGUAAGGUGACAUGAUGUAGACGGAUAAACUCAAGCAAUAUGAUAAAAAACCAUCUUUUACCCUUGAUGGCAACAAUACAAUGCGUGUCUCGCUACCCCUACUUUGUCACUGGGUGAGGACACCGCAAGAUUGAACCAAAAACUAAGCACCUCUCCCAUUGCAAGAAGAACCAAUCUAGUUGGCUAAACCAAACAGAUAAUUCGAAGAGAAAUACAAAGAUAUUUAAUCAUGUAUAAAAGAGUUUAAAAAAGACUCAAAUAAUAUUCAUAGACAAUCUGAUCAUAAAUCCACAGUUCAUCGGAUCUCAAUAAACACACCGCAAAAGAAUAUUACAUCGGAUAGAACUCCAAGAACAUCGAGGAGAACAUGGUAUUGAAGAUCAUAGAGAGAGAAGAAGCCAUCUAGCUACUAGCUGUUGACCCGUAGGUCUGUGGUAAACUACUCAUGCUUCAUCUGAAGGGCAAUAGAGUUGAUGUAGAUGCCCUCCGUGAUCGAAUCCCCCUCCGGCAGGAUGCCGAAAAAGGCCCCAAGAUGGGAUCUCACGGGAACAGAGGCUUGCGGCAGCGGAAAAGUAUUUUGGUGGACGCUUUUGUUGGUUUGGGAAUAUUUGGGAAUUUAUAGCGAAAGAAUUAGGGUCAGAGGAAUCCUGAGGGGCCCACAAGCCAGGGAGGCGUGCCCCCCUAGGGCGCGGCAUGAGGGCUUUUGGGUCCCUCGGGACUCUUCUAGCCCCCUCUCGAAGCUCUGUGGAUGUCUUCUGGUCCAAGAAAAAUCAUCACUAAAUUUUUAUUCCGUUUGGACUCUGUUUGAUAUUCCUUUUCUGUAAAACUCAGAAACAAGGGAAAUCAGAAAAUAGCACUGGACUCUAGGUUAAUAGGUUAGUCCCAAAAAUAAUAUAAAAUAGCAUAUUAAUGCAUAUAAAACAUCCAAAACAAAUAAUAUAAUAGCAUGGGACAAUAAAAAAUUAUAGAUACGUUGGAGACGAUCACAUUUACAGUGUUACUUGCGUUUGAUGUGUCUUGUCUUCAUGUGGGAUCUUAGUUCCUUUGCUUGAGCAACGGGACCACUAUCAUCACAAUAGAGCGCCAUUUGGUUCAUCGCACUUGGGACCGCACCAACUUCUUGGAGAAACUUCUUGAUCCAGACCGCCUCCUUCAAAACUUCUGAAGCUGCAAUAUACUCUGCUUUUGUCAUAGAAUCCGCAACAAUGUUCUGGUUGGAACUUUUUCCAAACCACACCACCAUUAAGGGUGAAAACAUAUCCCGAUUGAGAUUUAUAGUCAUCUAUAUCAGCCAUGAAGCUAGCAUCGGUGUAACCAUUUAUAACGAGUUCUUCAUCUCCUCCAUAAACAAGGAGCAUGUCCUUUGUUCUUUUGAGGUACUUAAGAAUAUUUUUAACGACAGCCCAGUGUCGGGAUCACUUUGGUACCUACUACUAACACUUAGCGCAUAAGAAACAUCUGGUCUAGUACAUAUCAUAGCAUACAUGAUGGAUCCAAUUGUAGAGGCAUAUGGGACUCCACUCAUCUGCACUCGCUCAUCAACUGCCUUGGGACAUUGAUUCUUGUUGAGUGUUGUGCCAUGUGACAUUGGGAGAAAUUCUUUCUUUGCAUUCUAUUUUAAACCUCUUUAAAACCUUGUCAAUUACGUGCUCUGGCUUAGUGCAAUUAUACGUCUUGAUAUAUAUAUAUAUAUAUAUAUAUAUAUAUAUAUAUAUAUAUAUAGAUCUUUAUGCCCAAUAUAUAUGCAGCUUCAUCUAAAUCUUUCAUUGAAAACACACUCUUUAAAUAGUCUUUUAUCGUGCUAAGAAACUUUGUAUCAAUUCCAAUCAACAAUAUGUCAUCCAAAUUAGAAAUGCUAUAGAGCUCCCACUAAACUUUUUGUAUACACAAGCUUCCUUAUCAUUUCUAAUGAAGCCAAACUCUUUUACAACUUCAUCAAAAUGUUAAUUCCAGCUCCUUGAUGCUUGCUUCAAACCAUAGAUAGACCUUUGAAACUUGCACAACUUUAUAGCAUCUUUAGGAUUGACAAAACCUUCUGGUUGUAUCGUAUAUACAUCCUCUUUCAGAUAUCCAUUUAGGAAAGCAGUUUUGACAUCUGUCUGCCAAAUUUCGUAAUCAAAAUAUGUAGCAAUAGCCAUCAUAAUCCACACAGAUUUUUGCAUAGCUACUGGUGAGAAACUCUCAUCAUAAUCAACUCCCUCAACUUGCGAAAAUCCUUUCGCAACUAACCUUGCUUUAUAGAUAGUAGGAUUUGUUGGGGAACGUUGUAGAAAACAAAACUUUUCCUACGGUUUCACCAAGAUCCAUCUAUGAGUUCAUCUAGCAACGAGUGAUCGGAUUGCAUCUACAUACCUUUGUAGAUCAUGCGCGGAAGCGUUCAAAGAACGGGGAUGAGGAAGUCGUACUCGACGUGAUCCAAAUCACCGGAGAUCCUAGCGCCGAACGGACGACACCUCCGCGUUCAACACACGUACGGUCAGCAUGACAUCUCCUCCUUCUUGAUCCAGCAAGGGGGAAGGAGAGGUUGAUGAAGAUCCAGCAGCACGACGGCAUGGUAGUGGAUGCAGGGGUCACCGCAACAGGGCUUUGCCGUUCUACUACGAGAGGGAGAGGUGUAGCAGGGGAGAGGGAGGCGCCAAGACUCAAGGGUGUUGAUGCCCCUCCCUUCCCCCCCUUUAUAUAGGCCCCCUAGGGGGUGCGCCGGCCCUAGGAGAUGGGAUCUCCUAGGGGGGUGGCGGCCAAGGGGUGGAGUGCCGCCCAAGCCAGGUGGGGCGCCCCCCCACCCUAGGGUUCCCAACCCUAGGCGCAUGGGGUGGGCCAAGGGGGGCGCACCAGCCCAAUAUGGGCUGGUUCCCCUCCCCACUUAGCCCAUGGGGCCCUCCAGGAUUGGUGGCCCCACCCGGUGGACCCCCGGGACCCUUUCGGUGGUCCCGGUACAAUACCGGUGACCCCCGAAACUCUCCCGAUGGCCGAAACUGCACUUCCUAUAUAUAAUUCUUCACCUGCAGACCAUUCCGGAACUCCUCGUGACGUCCAGGAUCUCAUCCGGGACUCCGAACAACUUUCGGGUUACUGCAUAUUCAUAUCUCUACAACCCUAGCGUUACCGAACCUUAAGUGUGUAGACCCUACGGGUUCGGGAGACAUGUAGACAUGACCGAGAUGGCUCUCCGGUCAAUAACCAACAGCGGAUCUGGAUACCCAUGUUGGCUCCCACAUGCUCCUCGAUGAUCUCAUCGGAUGAACCACGAUGUCGAGGAUUCAAGCAACCCCGUAUACAAUUCCCUUUGUCAAUCGGUACGUUACUUGCCCGAGAUUCGAUCGUCGGUAUCCCAAUACCUCGUUCAAUCUCGUUGCCGGCAAGUCACUUUACUCGUACCGUAAUGCAUGAUCCCAUGACCAGACACUUGGUCACUUUGAGCUCGUUGUGAUGAUGCAUUACCGAGUGGGCCCAGAGAUACCUCUCCGUCAUACGGAGUGACAAAUCCCAGUCUUGAUCCGUGUCAACCCAAUAGACACUUUCGGAGAUACCCGUAGUAUACCUUUAUAGUCACCCAGUUACGUUGUGACGUUUGGUACACCCAAAGCACUCCUACGGUAUCCGGGAGUUACACGAUCUCAUGGUCUAAGGAAAAGAUACUUGACAUUGGAAAAACUCUAGCAAACGAACUAUACGAUCUUGUGCUAUGUUUAGGAUUGGGUCUUGUCCAUCACAUCAUUCUCCUAAUGAUGUGAUCUCGUUAUCAAUGACAUCCAAUGUCCAUAGUCAGGAAACCAUGACUAUCUGUUAAUCAACGAGCUAGUCAACUAGAGGCUUACUAGGGACAUGUUGGUGUCUAUGUAUUCACACAUGUAUUACGAUUUCCGGAUAACACAAUUAUAGCAUGAAUAAAAGACAAUUAUCAUGAACAAGGAAAUAUAAUAAUAAUCCUUUUAUUAUUGCCUCUAGGGCAUAUUUCCAGCAGUCUCCCACUUGCACUAGAGUCAGUAAUCUAGUUACAUUGUGAUGAAUCGAACACCCAUGGAAUUCUGGUGUUGAUCAUGUUUUGCUCUAGGGAGAGGUUUAGUCAACGGAUCUGCUACAUUCAGGUCCGUAUGUACUUUACAAAUAUCUAUGUCUCCAUCUUGAACAUUUUCACGAAUGGAGUUGAAGCGACGCUUGAUGUGCCUGGUCUUCUUGUGAAACCUGGGCUCCUUGGCAAGUGCAAUAGCUCCAAUGUUGUCACAGAAGAGUUUGAUCGGCCCCGACGCAUUGGGUAUGACUCCUAGGUCGGUGAUGAACUCCUUCACCCAUAUUGCUUCAUGCGCUGCCUCCGAGGCUGCCAUGUACUCCGCUUCACAUGUAGAUUCCGCCACGACGCUCUGCUUGCAACUGCACCAGCUUACUGCCCCACCAUUCAAAAUAUACACGUAUCCGGUUUUGACUUAGAGUCAUCCAGAUCUGUGUCGAAGUUAGCGUCGACGUAACCCUUUACGACGAGCUCUUCGUCACCUCCAUAAAUGAGAAACAUUUCCUUAGUCCUUUUCAGGUACUUCAGGAUAUUCUUGACCGUUGUCCAGUGUUCCUUGCCGGGAUUACUUUGGUACCUACCUACCAAACUUACGGCAAGGUUUACAUCAGGUCUGGUACACAGCAUGGCAUACAUAAUAGAACCUAUGGCUGAGGCAUAGGGGAUGACACUCAUCUCUUCUAUAUCUUCUGCCGUGGUCGGACAUUGAGCUGAGCUCAAUUUCACACCUUGCAACACAGGCAAGAACCCCUUCUUAGACUGAUCCAUAUUGAACUUCUUCAAUAUCUUAUCAAGGUAUGUGCUUUGUGAAAGACCUAUGAGGCGUCUUGAUCUAUCUCUAUAGAUCUUGAUGCCUAAUAUAUAAGCAGCUUCUCCAAGGUCCUUCAUUGAAAAACUCUUAUUCAAGUAGGCCUUAAUGCUGUCCAAAAGCUCUAUAUCAUUUCCCAUCAAAAGUAUGUCAUCUACAUAUAAUAUGAGAAAUGCUACGGAGCUCCCACUCACUUUCUUGUAAACGCAGGCUUCUCCAUAAGUCUGCAUAAACCCAAACGCUUUGAUCAUCUCAUCAAAGCGAAUGUUCCAACUCCGAGAUGCUUGCACCAGCCCAUAAAUCGAGCGUUGGAGCUUGCACACCUUGUCAGCAUUCUUAGGAUCGACAAAACCUUCCGGCUGCAUCAUAUACAAUUCUUCCUUAAGGAAACCAUUAAGGAAUGCCGUUUUGACGUCCAUUUGCCAUAUCUCAUAAUCAUAGAAUGCGGCAAUUGCUAACAUGAUUCAGACGGACUUCAGCUUCGCUACCGGUGAGAAAGUCUCAUCAUAGUGAACCCCUUGAACUUGUCGAUAACCCUUAGCGACAAGCUGAGCUUUAUAGAUGGUCACAUUACCAUCCGCGUCUGUCUUCUUCUUAAAGAUCCAUUUAUUUUCUAUGGCUCGCCGCUCAACGGGCAAGUCAAUCAAAGUCCAUACUUCGUUUUCAUACAUGGAUCCUAUCUCGGAUUUCAUGGCUUCCAGCCAUUUGUCGGAAUCCGGGCCCGCCAUCGCUUCUUCAUAGUUCGAAGGUUCACCGUUUUAUAACAACAUGAUUUCCAAGACAGGGUUGCCGUACCAUUCUGGUGCAGAACAUGUCCUUGUGGACCUUCGAAUUUCAGUAGGAGCUUGAUCAGAAGUAUCUUGAUCAUCAUCAUUAACUUCCUCUCUAAUUGGUGCAGGCACCAUAGGAACAUUUUCUUGAGUUGCGCCACUUUCCGGUUCAAGAGGUAAUACUUCAUCAAGUUCUACUUUCCUCCCACUUACUUCUUUCAAGAGAAACUCCUUCUCUAGAAAGGAUCCAUUCUUGGCAACAAAGAUCUUGCCUUCGGAUCUGAGGUAGAAGGUAUACCCAAUAGUUUCUUUAGGGUAUCCUAUGAAGACGCAUUUUUCCGACUUGGGUUCGAGCUUUUCAGGUUGAAGUUUCUUGACAUAAGCAUCGCAUCCCCAAACUUUUAGAAACAAUAGCUUAGGUUUCUUCCCAAACCAUAAUUCAUACGGUGUCGUCUCAACGGAUUUCGACGGAGCCCUAUUUAAAGUGAAUGCGGCAGUCUCUAAAGCAUAGCCCCAAAAUGAUAGCGGUAAAUCGGUAAGAGACAUCAUAGAUCGCACCAUAUCUAAUAGAGUGCAAUUACGACGUUCGGACACACCAUUACGCUGAGGUGUUCCAGGCGGCAUGAGUUGUGAAACUAUUCCACAUUUUCUUAAGUGUGUGCCAAAUUCGUGACUCAAGUAUUCUCCUCCACGAUCUGAUUGCAGGAACUUGAUUUUCCUGUCAUGUUUAUUCUCAACCUCACUCUGAAAUUCCUUGAACCUUUCAAAGGUCUCAGACUUGUGUUUCAUUAAGUAGACAUACCCAUAUCUACUCAAGUCAUCAGUGAGGGUGAGAACAUAACGAUAGCCACCGCGAGCCUCAACACUCAUUGGACCGCACACAUCAGUAUGUAUGAUUUCCAAUAAGUUGGUUGCUCGCUCCAUUGUUCCUGAGAACGGAGUCUUGGUCAUUUUACCCAUGAGGCAUGGUUCACACGUGUCAAAUGAUUCAUAAUCAAGAGACUCUAAAAGUCCAUCUGCAUGGAGCUUCUUCAUGCGUUUGACACCUAUGUGACCAAGGCGGUAGUGCCACAAGUAUGUGGGACUAUCAUUAUCAACCUUACAUCUUUUGGUAUUCACACUAUGAAUAUGUGUAGCAUUACGCUCGAGAUUCAUUAAGAAUAAACCAUUCACCAUUGGAGCAUGACCAUAAAACAUAUCUCUCAUAUAAAUAGAACAACCAUUAUUCUCGGAUUUAAAUGAGUAGCCAUCUCGUAUUAAACGAGAUCCUGAUACAAUGUUCAUGCUCAAACUUGGCACUAAAUAACAAUUAUUGAGGUUCAAAACUAAUCCCGUAGGUAAAUGUAGAGGUAGCAUGCCGACGGAGAUCACAUCGACCUUGGAACCAUUCCCGACGCGCAUCGUCACCUCGUCCUUCGCCAGUCUCCGCUUAUUCCGCAGCUCCUACUUUGAGUUACAAAUGUGAGCAACUGCACCGGUAUCAAAUACCCAGGAGCUACUACGAGUACUGGUAAGGUACACAUCAAUUACAUGUAUAUCACAUAUACCUUUCGUUUUGCCGGCCUUCUUGUCCGCUAAGUAUUUGGGGCAGUUCCGCUUCCAAUGACCACUUUCCUUGCAAUAAAAGCACUCAGUCUCGGGCUUGGGUCCAUUCUUUGGCUUCUUCCCGGCAGCUUGCUUGCCGGGCGCGGCAACUCCCUUGCUGUCCUUCUUGAAGUUCUUCUUACCCUUGCCUUUCUUGAACUUAGUGGUUUUAUUCACCAUCAAUACUUGAUGUUCCUUUUUGAUUUCUACCUCUGCUGAUUUCAGCAUUGCAAAUACUUCAGGAAUGGUCUUUUCCAUCCCCUGCAUAUUGAAGUUCAUCACAAAGCUCUUGUAGCUCGGUGGAAGCGACUGAAGGAUUCUGUCAAUGACCGCGUCAUCCGGGAGAUUAACUCCCAGCUGAGUCAAGCGGUUAUGUAACCCAGACAUAGUGAGUAUGUGCUCACUGACAGAACUGUUUUCCUCCAUCUUACAGCUGAAGAACUUGUCGGAGACUUCAUAUCUCUCGACCCGGGCAUGAGCUUGAAAAACCAUUUUCAGCUCUUCGAACAUCUCAUAUGCUCCGUGUCUCUCAAAACGCUUUUGGAGCCCCGCUUCUAAGCUGUAAAGCAUGCCGCACUGAACGAGGGAGUAAUCAUCGGUAUGUGUCUGCCAAGCGUUCAUAACGUCUUGUUCUGCAGGGAGAACAGGUGCGUCACCUAGUGGUGCUUGUAGGACAUAAUCUUUCUUGGCAUCUAUGAGGAUGAUCCUCAGGUUCCGAACCAAGUCCGUAUAGUUGCUGCCAUCGUCUUUCAGCUUGGUUUUCUCUAGGAACGCGUUGAAGUUGAGGACAACGUUGGCCAUUUGAUCUACGAGACAUAUUGUAAAUAUUUUAGACUAAGUUCAUAAUAAUUAAGUUCAUCUAUUUAAAAUUAUUCAAUGAACUCCCACUCAGAUAGACAUCCCUCCAGUCAUCUAAGUAUAACAUGAUCCGAGUUAACUAGGCCGUGUCCGAUCAUCACGUGAGACGGACUAGUCAACAUCGGUGAACAUCUUCAUGUUGAUCGUAUCUUCUAUACGACUCAUGCUCGACCUUUCGGUCUUCUGUGUUCCGAGGCCAUGUCUGUACAUGCUAGGCUCGUCAAGUCAACCUAAGUGUUUGCAUGUGUAAAUCUGUCUUACACCCGUUGUAUGUGAACGUUGGAAUCUAUCACACCCGAUCAUCACGUGGUGCUUCGACACAACAAACUGUCGCAACGGUGCACAGUUAGGGGGAACACUUUCUUGAAAUUAUUAUGAGGGAUCAUCUUAUUUACUACCGUCGUUCUAAGUAAACAAGAUGCAAAAACAUGAUAAACAUCACAUGCAAUCAAAUAAUAAUAGUGACAUGAUAUGGCCAAUAUCACAUAGCUCCUUUGAUCUCCAUCUUGGGGCUCCAUGAUCAUCUUGUCACCAUCAUGACACCAUGAUCUCCAUCAUCAUGAGAUCUCCAUCAUCGUGUCUCCAUGAAGUUGCUCGCCAACUAUUACUUCUACUACUAAGGCUAACACGUUUAGCAAUAAAGUAAAGUAAUUUACAUGGCAUUUCUCAAUGACACGCAGGUCAUACAAAAAAUAAAGACAACUCCUAUGGCUCCUGCCGGUUGUCAUACUCAUCGACAUGCAAGUUGUGAUUCCUAUUACAAUAGCAUGAACAUCUGAUACAUCACAUAUAUAUCAUUCAUCAUUCACCACAACUUUGGCCAUAUCACAUCACAAAACACUUGCUGCAAAAACAAGUUAGACGUCCUCUAAUUGUUGUUGCAAGUUUCACGUGGCUGCAAUAGGGUUCUAGCAAGAACGUUUUCUUACCUACGUGAAAGCCACAACGUGAUUUGUCAACUUCUAUUUACCCUUCAUAAGGACCCUUUUCAUCGAAUCCGCUCCAACUGAAGUGGGAGAGACAGACACCCGCCAGCCACCUUAUGCAACUAGUGCAUGUUAGUCGGUGGAACCGGUCUCACGUAAGCGUACGUGUAAGGUUGGUCCGGGCCGCUUCAUCCCACAAUACCGCUGAAGCAAAAUAAGACUAGUAGCGGCAAGAAAGUUGACAACAUCUACGCCCACAACAAAUUGUGUUCUACUCGUGCAAGAAGAACUACGCAUAGACCUAGCUCAUGAUGCCACUGUUGGGGAACAUUGCAGAAAACAAAAAUUUUCCUAUGGUUUCACCAAGAUCCAUCUAUGAGUUCAUCUAGCAACGAGUGAUCGGAUUGCAUCUACAUACCUUUGUAGAUCACGCGCGGAAGCGUUCAAAUAACGGGGAUGAGGAAGUCGUACUCGACAUGACCCAAAUCACCGGAGAUCCUAGCGCCGAACGAACGACACCUCCGCGUUCAACACACGUACGGUCAGCGUGACGUCUCUUCCUUCUUGAUCCAGCAAGGGGGAAGGAGAGGUUGAUGAAGAUCCAGCAGCACGACGGCGUGGUGGUGGAUGAAGGGGUCACCGCAGCAGGGCUUCGCCGUUCUACUACGAGAGGGAGAGGUGUAGCAGGGGAGAGGGAGGCGCCAAGACUCAAGGGUGUUGCUGCCCCUCCCUUCCCCCCUUUAUAUAGGCCCCCUAGGGGGUGCGCCGGCCCUAGGAGACGGGAUCUCCUAGGGGGGCGGCGGCCAAGGGGUGGAGUGCCCCCCAAGCCAGGUGGGGCGCCCCCCCACCCUAGGGUUCCCAACCCUAGGCGCAUGGGAUGGGCCAGGGGGGGCGCACCAGUCCACUAUGGGCUGGUUCCCCUCCCCACUUAGCCCAUGGGGCCCUCCCGGAUGGGUGGCCCCACCCGGUGAACCCCCGGGACCCUUCCGGUGGUCCCGGUACAAUACCGGUGACCCCCGAAACUCUCCCGGUGGCCGAAACUGCACUUCCUAUAUAUAAUUAUUCACCUCCGGACCAUUCCGGAACUCCUCGUGACGUCCAGGAUCUCAUCUGGGACUCUGAACAACUUUCGGGUUACUGCAUAUUCAUAUCUCUACAACCCUAGCGUUACCGAACCUUAAGUGUGUAGACCCUACGGGUUCGGGAGACAUGUAGACAUGACCGAGAUGGCUCUCCGGUCAAUAACCAACAGUGGGAUCUGGAUACCCAUGUUGGCUCCCACAUGCUCCUCGAUGAUCUCAUCGGAUGAACCAUGAUGUCGAGGAUUCAAGCAACCCCGUAUACAAUUCCCUUUGUCAAUUGGUACGUUACUUGCCCGAGAUUCGAUCAUCGGUAUCCCAAUACCUCGUUCAAUCUCGUUGCCGGCAAGUCACUUUACUUGUACCGUAAUGCAUGAUCCCGUGACAAGACACUUGGUCACUUUGAGCUCGUUGUGAUGAUGCAUUACUGAGUGGGCCCAGAGAUACCUCUCCGUCAUAUGGAGUGACAAAUCCCAGUCUUGAUCUGUGUCAACCCAACAGACACUUUCGGAGAUACCCGUAGUAUACCUUUAUAGUCACCCAGUUACGUUGUGACGUUUGGUACACCCAAAGCACUCCUACGGUAUCCAGGAGUUACAGGAUCUCAUGGUCUAAGGAAAAGAUACUUGACAUUGGAAAAACUCUAGCAAACGAACUAUACGAUCUUGUGCUAUGUUUAGGAUUGGGUCUUGUCCAUCACAUCAUUCUCCUAAUGAUGUGAUCUCGUUAUCAAUGACAUCCAAUGUCCAUAGUCAGGAAACCAUGACUAUCUGUUGAUCAACGAGCUAGUCAACUAGAGGCUUACUAGGGACAUGUUGGUGUCUAUGUAUUCACACAUGUAUUACAAUUUUCGGAUAACACAAUUAUAGCAUGAAUAAAAGACAAUUAUCAUGAACAAGGAAAUAUAAUAAUAAUCCUUUUAUUAUUGCCUCUAGGGCAUAUUUCCAACAGGAUUACCAUCCGCAUCUGUUUUUACCUUGGAGAUCCAUUUACAUUGUAUGGGUUUCACACCCACUAGAGGAUCGACAAGUUCCAAACUUGAUUCUCGUACAUGGACUCCAUUUCAGAUUGCAUGGCUCUGAGCCAUUUUUUGAGCUGAGUGUUGCAAUCGCUUCCAUGUAGUGUGCAUGCUCAUCUUCCUCUAAGAUGAAUAUUUCAUUAUGAAACCAUUCAGGAGGUUCGACAACUCUUCCUGACCUACGAGGAGAAAGGAUUGAGAUGGACCUAGAGGGGGUGAAUAGGUACAAUUACAAAAUUUAAUUCUUAAUUAGCAAUUCUAGGCAAUAAUGUGGAAUAUGAAAGCGAGCCAAACAAUUGCAAAUGUGAGACAAGAGCUAAGCAAGGUGAACAAGUUCAACAAGUAAGUGGAUAAACAAGCACAAUAUAAUUCAAGUAAAUACUAGGUGACAAAUAACCACAAGUAGGAAGCUAGGGUUAGGAAUAACCGCAACUCCGAGAGACAAGGAUGUAUGUUGAUGUUCACUUCCUUGGAGGGAAGCUACGUCACUGUUUAGAAAGGUGGAUAUUACCAUGAAGGCUCACCCUAUUCUCUCUUUGAGAUAUCACCACGAAGGCAAUUCUCAACCAUUACUAGUAGACCUUGGGGUGGUCUCCAAACCCUCACAAACUUUCCGGGUGUAAUCACAAUGAACAAUUCCUCUCCGAAGAACUCCUACUGCCUAGGAGUCUCCAACCUCCAGGAGUAACAAGAACGAUGGCGAAAAGCUCAAGACUUGCUCAAAUCACGAAUUCUUUUGGUCAAGAGAAGGGGAAGGAGUGGAUCCAUCACUUGAUUGGACAACUUCUUGAGAACUCUCUCAAAUCCCUUUGGGAUCUAGGAUUUGGUGUAUGAGAUUGUGUGAGAGAGUGAAAUGUGUUCUAGGGUUAGCUCAAAGUGAAUGGUCAAACUUUUCUUGGAGUGGAAGAAGGCUAUAUAUAGUGGUGGAGAAAAUAUGACCGUUGUAGAGUAAGUGCUUGUGCCCGGCCGGACAUCCGGGCCAAGUGCCAGACAUCCGACGUAGAGAGAUUGCCAUACGUAAAUACAUUGCACAUGAGUGAAACAGAGGAGCCGGACAUCUGGCGCACCAGGGGAGGCCCGGACAUUUGGUAGUGUGUCGAACAUCCAGCGUGAGCAUCCACCAGAGUGUCAAAUUACUGGAUGUGUCCGGUCGGAUAUCCGGGGGGCACACAUCUGAUAGAACACGAGCGCUCGGACAUCUGGCCACCAUAUUACGGAAAUGUGAGGCUAUCUGGAUAGACAGAGUCGGAUAUUCGGGGGAGCCCCAGACCUCCAACCACAAAGGAAUGCCCAGACAUCCGACCGUCUGGGACAAUGAGAAGCAACCUUCUCUGUGUUGUGCGGGCCGGAUUUUCAGCUAGUUCCCGAACAUCCGGCCACCCUCAACAUAAAAUUCUUAUGAGAGAUAGUGGGGGGAAGAAUGUGUGGAAAAGAUUGAACCCACUUUUGUUUGAAUGAGAUGGUUAUUUUAGGAGAGGUGGCUAGAUAGAAAAGGGAAGGAAUUUGCUAUGACUUGAGCAUGUCUUUUACUAACCCUAUCGAUCCCCUCUUAAUAGUGCGGGAUCCCUAUACUCAAGAAUGAAAGAAAACGAGAUCUAUAAACCUCUUUGUUCCUUCUUCCUUGAGUCGUAUCAAUUCUAUGUGUCCGUGAUCCACACAAAUUGUCACUUGAGGACUAACACCCGAGAUUUACUUGGCAAACAUAGUUAGUCCCCUACAUUACAUUAUCAUUAGCAAAAAAAAUAUGAUGUAAGGGCAUGAUUGCACUUUCACGCGGUUCAGUUACAGUCUCAAUUGUAGUUUCUACAGUUGGUGUAGUAACUUCUGGUUCAGUUGUGCGGACAACUUAUGGAACCGAUUCUGUUUCGUAAGUUGAUGUCUACUACACAACCUUCUUCUUGUAGACAUUGUUGGGCCUCCAAGUGCAGAGGUUUGUAGGAUGGUAGCAAAUUUCCCUCAAGUGGAUGACCUAAGGUUUAUCAAUCCGUGGGAGGCGUAAUGAAGAUGGUCUCUCUCAAGCAACCCUGCAACCAAAUAACAAAGAGUCUCUUGUGUCCCAAACACACCCAAUACAAUGGUAAAUUGUAUAGGUGCACUAGUUCGGCGAAGAGAUGGUGAUACAAGUGCAAUAUGGAUGAUAGCUAAAGGUUUUUGUAAUCUGAAAAUAUUAAAACAGCAAGGUAACUAAUGAUAAAAGUGAGCACAAACGGUAUUGCAAUGUGUUGAAACAAGGCCUAGGGUUCAUACUUUCACUAAUGCAAGUUCUCCCAAUAAUAAUAACAUAAUUGGAUCAUAUAACUAUCCCUCAACAUGCAACAAAGAGACACUCCAAAGUCACUAAUAGCGGAGAACAAACGAAUAGAUUAUGGUAGGGUACAAAACCACCUCAAAGUUAUCCUUUUUGAUUGAUCUAUUCAAGAGUCCAUAGUAAAAUAACACGAAGCUAUUCUUUCCGUUCAAUCUAUCCUAGAGUUCGUACUAGAAUAACACCUUAAGACACAAAUCAACCAAAACCCCAAUGUCACCUAGAUAUGCCAAUGUCACCUCAAGUAUCCGUGGGUAUGAUUAUACGAUAUGCAUCACACAAUCUCAGAUUCAUCUAUUCAAACCAACACAAAGUACUUCAAAGAGUGCCCCAAAAUUUCUACCGGAGAGUCAAGACGAAAACGUGUGCCAACCGCUAUGCAUAGGUUCAUGGGCGGAACCCGCAAGUUGAUCACCAAAAUAUACAUCAAGUGGAUCAAUAGAAUACCCCAUUGUCACCACGGGUAUCCCACGCAAGACAUACAUCAAGUGUUCUCAAAUCCUUAAAGACUCAAUACGAUAAGAUAACUUCAAAGGGAAAACUCAAUCCAUUACAAGAGAGUAGAUGGGGAGAAACAUCAUAAGAUCCAACUAUAAUAGCAAAGCUCGCGAUACAUCAAGAUCGUACCACCUUAAGAACACGAGAGAGAGAGAGAGAGAGAUCAAACACAUAGCUACUGGUACAUACCCUCAACCCCGAGGGUGGACUACUCCCUCCUCGUCAUGGAGAGCGCCGGGAUGAUGAAGAUGGCCACCGGAGAGGGAUUCCCCCCUCCGGCAGGGUGCCGAAAUGGGUCGAGAUUGGUUUUCGAUGGCUACGGAGGCUUAUGGCGAUGGAACUCCCGAUCUAUUUUGCUCUCCGAUGGUUUUAGGAUAUAUUGGUAUAUAUAGGAGGAAGAAAUACGUCAGGGGGCCACGAGGGGCCCACGAGGGUGGAGGGCGCGUCCAGGGGGGUGGGCGCGCCCCCCCUGUCUCGUGCCUUCCUCGUUGCUUCCCUUACGUACACCCCAAGUCUUCUGGAUUGCUUCCAUCCCAAAAAUAAGUUCUGUGAAGUUUCAGGUCAAUUGGACUCCAUUUGAUUUUCCUUUUCUGCGAUACUCUAAAACAAGGAAAAAAACAGAAACUGGCACUGGGCUCUGGGUUAAUAGGUUAGUCCCAAAAAUAAUAUAAAAGUGUAUAAUAAAGCCCAUAAAUAUCCAAAACAAAUAAUAUAAUAGCAUGGAACAAUCAAAAAUUAUAGAUACGUUGGAGACGUAUCAGCAUCCCCAAGCUUAAUUCAUGCUCGUCCUCGAGUAGGUAAAUGAUAAAAACGGAAUUUUUGAUGUGGAAUGCUACCUAACAUAUUUAUCCAUGUAAUUCUCUUUACUGUGGCAAGAAUAUUCAGAUCCAUAGGAUUCAAGACAAAAGUUUAAUAUUGACAUAAAAAUAAUAAUACUUCAAGCAUACUAACAAAGUAAUCAUGUCUUCUCAAAAUAACAUGGCCAAAGAAAGCUAUCCCUACAAAAUCAUAUAGUCUGGCUAUGCUCCAUCUUCACCACACAACGUAUUUAAAUCAUGCACAACCCCGAUGACAAGCCAACCAAUUGUUUCAUACUUUUGGUGUUCUCAAACUUUUUCAAUCUUCACGCAAUAUAUGAGCGUGAGCCAUGGAUAUAGCACUAUAGGUGGAAUAGAAUGGUGGUUGUGGAGAAGACAAAAAGGAGAAGAUAGUCUCACAUCAACUAGGCGUAUCAACGGGCUAUGGAGAUGCCCAUUAAUAGAUAUCAAUGUGAGUGAGUAGGGAUUGCCAUGCAACAGAUGCACUAGAGCUAUAAAUGUAUGAAAGCUCAACAAAAGAAACUAAGUGGGUGUGCAUCCAACUUGCUUGCUCAUGAAGACCUAGGGCACUUGAGGAAGCCCAUUGUUGGAAUAUACAAGCCAAGUUCUAUAAUGAAAAUUUCCCACUAGUAUAUGAAAGUGAUAUCAUAGGAGACUCUCUAUCAUGAAGAUCAUGGUGCUACUUUGAAGCACAAGUGUGGUAAAAGGAUAGUAGUAUUGUCCCCCUUUUUUGGGCCUUCCUUUUUUUAUUUGGCCUUUUUUGGGACAAUACUCUAUGAAUGAUGAUCACCACACUUCUAUUUAUUUACAACUCAAUGAUUACAACUCGAUACUAGAACAAAGUAUGACUCUGUAUGAAUGCCUCCGGCGGUGUACCGGGAUGUGCAAUGACUCAUGAGUGACAUGUAUGAAAGAAUUAUGAACGGUGGCUUUGCCACAAAUACAAUGUCAACUACAUGGUCAUGCAAAGCAAUAUGACAAUGAUGAAGCGUGUCAUAAUAACGGAACGGUGGAAAGUUGCAUGGCAAUAUAUCUCGGAAUGGCUAUGGAAAUGCCAUAAUAGGUAGGUAUGGAGGCUGUUUUGAGGAAGGUAUAUGGUGGGUGUAAGAUACCGGCGAAAGUUGCGCGGUACUAGAGAGGCUAGCAAUGGUGGAAGGGUGAGAGUGCGUAUAAUCCAUGGACUCAACAUUAGUCAUAAAGAACUCACAUACUUAUUGCAAAAAUCUAUUAGUUAUCGAAAACAAAGUACUAUGCGCAUGAUCCUAGGGGGAUAGAUUGGUAGGAAAAGACCAUCGUUCGUCCCCGACCGCCACUCAUAAGGAAGACAAUCAAUAAAUAGGUCAUGCUCCGACUUCGUCACAUAACGGUUCACCGUACGUGCAUGCUACGGGAACCACAAACUUCAACACAAGUAUUUCUCAAAUUCACAACUACUCAACUAGCAUGACUCUACUAUCACCAUCUCCAUAUCUCAAAACAAUUAUCAAGUAUCAAACUUCUCAUAGUAUUCAAUGCACUUUAUAUGAAAGUUUUUAUUAUAUCCCUCUUGGAUGCCCAUCAUAUUAGGACUAAUUUCAUAAACAAAGCAAAUUACCAUGCUGUUCUAAAGACUCUCAAAAUAAUAUAAGUGAAGCACUAGAGUUCAACUAUUUCUUCAAAAUAAAAUCACCGCCGUGCUCUAAAAGAUAUAAGUGAAGCACUAGAGCAAAUGACUAACUACUCCAAAAGAUAUAAGUGAAGAUCAAUGAGUAGUCGAAUAAUUAUGCAACUAUGUGAAGACUCUCUAACAUUUAAGAAUUUCAGAUUUGGUAUUUUAUUCAAACAGCAAGCGAAACUAAAUAAAAUAAAAUGACGCUCCAAGCAAAACACAUAUCAUGUGGUAAAUAAAAAUAUAGCUUCAAGUAAAGUUACCGAUGAACGAAGACGAAAGAGGGGAUGCCCCUGAACGAAGACGAAAGAGGGGAUGCCUUCCGGGGCAUCCCCAAGCUUAGGCUUUUGGUUGUCCUUGAAUAUUACCUUGGGGUGCCUUGGACAUCCCCAAGAUUAGGCUCUUUCCACUCCUUAUUCCAUAGUCCAUUGAAUCUUUACCCAAAACUUAAAAACUUCACAACACAAAACUUAACAGAAAACUCGUAAGCUCCGUUAGCGAAAGAAAACAAAACACCACUUCAAGGUACUGUAAUGAACCCAUUCUUUAUUUAUAUUGGUGUUAAACCUAUUGUAUUCCAACUUCUCUAUGGUUUAUAAACUCUUUUACUAGCCAUAGAUUCAUCAAAAUAAGUAAACAACACAUGAAAAACAGAAUAUGUCGAAAACAGAAUAGUCUGUACUAAUCUGUAACUAACGCAAACUUCUGAAACCUCAAAAUUCUAAAAUAAAAUUCUGGACAUGAGGAAUUUAUCUAUUAAUCAUCUUCAAAAAGAAUUAACUAAAUAUCACUCUCCAAUAAAAACUGGCAGCAAUUCUCGUGAGCGCUAAAGUUUCUGUUUUUUACAGCAAGAUCAACAAGACUUUCCCCAAGUCUUCCCAACAGUUCUACUUGGCACAAACACUAAUUAAAAGCAUAAAACCACAUAUAAACAGAGGCUAGAUGAAUUAUUUAUUAUUAAGCAGGAGCAAAAAGUAAAGAACAAGAAUAUGAUUGGGUUGCCUCCCAACAAGCGCUAACGUUUAACGCCCCUAGCUAGGCAUGAUGAUUUCAAUGAUGCUCACAUAAAAAAUAAGAAUUGUAACAUAAAUAGAGCAUCAUGAAGAAUAUGACUAGCACAUUUAAGCCUAACCCACUUCCUAUGCACAGAGAUUUUGUGAGCAAACAACUUAUGGGAACAAUAAUCAACUAGCAUAGAAGGGCAAAACAAGCAUAACUUCAAAACUUUAAGCACAUAGAGAGGAAACUUGAUAUUAUUGCAAUUCCUACAAGCAUAUGUUCCUCCCUCAUAAUAAUUUUCAGUAGAAUAAUGAAUGAAUUCAACAAUAUAACUAUAACAUAAAGCAUUCUUUUCAUGAUCUACAAUCAUAGAAAACUUACUACUCUCUACAUAAGCAAAAUUCUUCUCAAUCGGAAUAGUGGGAGUAUCAUAAGAGACUCGAAUAAUGUAAAUUGUUUCCACACUAAAAGAGUAAUGUUCAGAAAAGGGGUAAUCAUAAUCAUGACAAGUUUUAUAAAUAUAAUCAUCACUACUUUUUAUAGCAUACGUGUCCUCACAAUAAUCAUCAUAAGUAGCAACUUUGUUCUCAUCAUAAUCGAUUGAAACCUCUUCCAAGAUAGUGGAAUCAUCACUAAAUAAAGUCAUGACCUCUCCAAAUCCACUUUCAUAAUUAUCAUAAUAAGAUUCAACAUCCUCCAAAAUAGUGGGAUCAUUACUUCCUAAAGUUGACACUCUUCCAAACCCACUUUCAUCAAUAUAAUCAUCAUAAGUAGGAGGCAUGCUAUCAUCAUUAUAAAUUUGCAUAUCAAAACUUGGGGACUAAAAAUAUCAUAUUCAUUAAACGUAGCAUCCCCAAGCUUGGGACAAACAUUAAUUGCAGCAAAUAUAUUCUCAAAAACAUCAUCUUCAUCAAAAAUAGCAUCCCCAAGCUUGGGCAUUUUCAUAUCAUAAGCAUAAUCACUCUCAUCAUCAAUAGUAUGGAUAGCACCAAUAGUAUAGCAAUUAUCAUAUUCUUCCAAGCAAGUGCCAAAAAGAUUUUCAAGAUCAUAAGAAGUAUCAUUAUCUUUCCAAUCAUAAUCAUCACAACAAGCAAUAGGCAUAACGAGAUCAUCAUCAAGUGCAUCAUCUUCCACAAUUAUAUUUUCAUGAGGCACAAUAGUAAUAGGAGCAGCAUUAUUUGGGAGAGAUAUCUUUUUUACCUCUCUUCCUUUUUCUUUUCUUCUUCUUCAGCACAUCAUGUGUGGGUUCAAUCCUCUUUUUGGAGCUCCUUAUUAAUGAGAUUGGUUGAAUAGAAGGCUCCUCCUUGUUACCUGAUUCAUCAUAAGAAAUAAUAGGAGGAUAUGGGGAAGUCUCUUCCCUUUCAUUAGUAUUCUCUUCAUAUUCUAUUUGUUUUCUUUUCUUUAUGUAAUUGGCAAUAUAAGGAUUUUCAAUACAAUUCACAUCACAAUACAUAAAUUUCUUCUAGAUCAAUAUCGAGGAAUUUCUUGAGGUUAUAUUCUGGAAUAAUGUUAGUUUGACGUUUCAUUUCUUCAUAACCGAAAAGCAAACUAAGUUCAUUAUAAUGUGCAAGGGAAAUCAAAUCAUCACAAUUUUUGGACAUGAUUCGAUCAUGAAACAAUUUGCAUUUGAUAUUUAAAUGACCAUGUUCAUUGCAAAGUUCACAAGUAUGGCUAAGAAAUUUUAAAUUUUCAGCACUAACAUUUAGCCUUUCUUGCAACCAUUUAGUUUCUAAGUGCUUAUGCCUCUUGCAAUAUCUAUCUUCCCUAUUUGGUGUGUACUUGCAACCCCAAUGCACUCCACAAAAAUUGACAUGUUUAUCAGAGACAUUUUCAUCAUAACUAGUGCAAUCAUCAUUAGUACUAUGGAUAUUCAAGGAGUUCAUACUAACAACAUUGCAAUCAUGCUCAUCUUUCCAAGAUUUAGUGCCAAACAUUUUAAUGCAUUCUUCUUCUAACGCUUUGGCAUAAUUUUCCUUCCCAUCAUACUCACGAAAGAUAUUAAAAAUAUGAAGCGUAUGAGGCAAACUCAAUUCCAUAUUUUUUUUGUAGUUUUCUUUUAUAAACUAAACUAGUGCUAAAACAAGAAACAAAAAGAUUCGAUUGCAAGAUCUAAAGAUAUACCUUCAAGCGCUAACCUCCCCGGCAACGGCGCCAGAAAAGAGCUUGAUGUCUACUACACAACCUUCUUCUUGUAGACAUUGUUGGGCCUCCAAGUGCAGAGGUUUGUAAGACAGUAGCAAAUUUCCCUCAGGUGGAUGACCUAAGGUUUAUCAAUCCGUGGGAGGCGUAGGAUGAAGAUGGUCUCUCUCAAGCAACCCUGCAACCAAAUAACAAAGAGUCUCUUGUGUCCCCAACACACCCAAUACAAUGGUAAAUUGUAUAGGUGCACUAGUUCGGCGAAGAGAUGGUGAUACAAGUGCAAUAUGGAUGAUAGAUAAAGGUUUUUGUAAUCUGAAAAUAUUAAAACAGCAAGGUAACUAAUGAUAAAAGUGAGCACAAAUGGUAUUGCAAUGCGUUGAAACAAGGCCUAGGGUUCAUACUUUCACUAGUGCAAGUUCUCUCAACAAUUAUAACAUAAUUGGAUCAUAUAACUAUCCCUCAACAUGCAAUAAAGAGUCACUCCAAAGUGACUAAUAGCGGAGAACAAACAAAGAGAUUAUGGUAGGGUACGAAACCACCUCAAAGUUAUCCUUUCUGAUCGAUCUAUUCAAGAGUCCGUAGUAAAAUAACAUGAAGCUAUUCUUUCCAUUCAAUCUAUCCUAGAGUUCGUACUAGAAUAACACCUUAAGACACAGAUCAACCAAAACCCUAAUGUCACCUAGAUACGCCAAUGUCACCUCAAGUAUCUGUGGGUAUGAUUAUACGAUAUGCAUCACACAAUCUCAGAUUCAUCUAUUCAAACCAACACAAAGUACUUCAAAGAGUGCCCCAAAGUUUCUACCGGAGAGUCAAGACGAAAACGUGUGCCAACCGCUAUGCAUAGGUUCAUGGGCGGAACCUGCAAGUUGAUCACCAAAACAUACAUCAAGUGGAUCAAUAGAAUACCCCAUUGUCACCACGGGUAUCCCACGCAAGACAUACAUCAAGUAUUCUCAAAUCCUUAAAGACUCAAUCCGAUAAGAUAACUUCAAAGGGAAAACUCAAUCCAUUACAAGAGAGUAGAGGGGGAGAAACAUCAUAAGAUCCAACUAUAAUAGCAAAGCUCGCGAUACAUCAAGAUCGUACCACCUUAAGAACACGAGAGAGAGAGAGAGAUCAAACACAUAGCUACUGGUACAUACCCUCGGCCCUGAGGGUGGACUACUCCCUCCUCGUCAUGGAGAGCACCGAGAUGAUGAAGAUGGCCACCGAAGAGGGAUUCCCCCUCCGACAGGGUGCCGAAACGGGUCGAGAUUGGUUUUCGGUGGCUACGGAGACUUAUGGCGGCGGAACUCCCGAUCUAUUCUGCUCUCCGAUGGUUUCAGGAUAUAUUGGUAUAUAUAGGAGGAAGAAAUACGCCAGGAGGGCCACGAGGGGCCCACGAGGGUGGAGGGCGCGUCCAGGGGGUGGGCGCGCCCCCCCUGCCUCGUGCCUUCCUCGUUGCUUCCCUUACGUACACCCCAAGUCUUCUGAAUUGCUUCCGUUCUAAAAAUAAGUUCCUUGAAGUUUCAGGUCAAUUGGACUCCGUUUGAUUUUCCUUUUCUGCGAUACUCUAAAACAAGGAAAAAAACAGAAACUGGCACUGGGCUCUGGGUUAAUAGGUUAGUCCCCAAAAUAAUAUAAAAGUGUAUAAUAAAGCCCAUAAACAUCCAAAACAGAUAAUAUAAUAGCAUGUAACAAUGAAAAAUUAUAGAUACGUUGGAGACGUAUCAUAAGUCAUGUCCACUUCUGAAGAUUCAGUAAUCUCGUCAAGCUGUAUUGUCCUCCCACUUACUUCUUUAGCGAGAAACUCUUUCUCGAGAAAGUGUCCAUUCUUAGCAGCAAACACUUUGUCUUCAGACUUUUGGUAGAAGGAAUACCCCAAUUGUUUCUUUGGGAUAACCUACAAAGUAGCAUUUGACUGCUUUGGGAUCGAGCUUAUUUGGUUGUAAACGUUUUACAUAAGUCUCGCAACCCCGGUCCUUGACUUCGCACACGAUUACUUUGGGCGAAACAUCAGCAAAUUUUGUCCCUGUAACAGACAAUUUAUCUGGGUCGUGUGUGAUCGACCCCCCUAUCGCCCACCUUAGCAAGGCUAUGGUUUGAAACUUUGUUCACCGAAAAGGGGUAAAUCCAUUUGCAUAUGAGUUAACUGCACUAGGGGAGCUUUGUCCGCACACAACCUCUAAAAAAUGGAGAUUUCUGUAGCACCUCUAUGUCAUCGUACGACCCUACUAUGUCAAGGAAAAGUGUCAAAUCCAGAGGUCGUGUGAUGUAACUACUUCAAGAUGAUGGUGAACUCUUUGCAAUGACCCUGGUAUUGUCCUUGUUGAGCAUAUUGACAGUUCUUCCAUUCCAGUGGAUGCAAUCCAGGGAUUCGAUCAUACCUGGAAACCCUCUUAAUUCUCCAAGUGACAUGCGCCUUUUGUGUUUGCGGCAACUGGUUCUCUCAAGUACUCUGGUCCUCCCGGACCAUUAUAGUAGCAAAUCUAACCAUGGCCUCUAAGCACGUGCUCUCAGACAUCCGAAGGUCCUCAUCCCAUUUAAUUUGCGGAUGUGCCAUAGGCAAGCAUUCUCAUAGCAAUCACGCACUUCUGAUAACCAGAUAACCCAAAGCAGCCAAUAACAUCCUUUUUCGGUUUAAAGUAAUCAUCAUAGGCCAUCAUACCUUCAUAGAUGUGUUCAAACUUCAAACACAUGUCGCCAUAUCUGGAAUUAGCGUCAGAAAUAGGGCUCAAAUAGCGUGUUGGGGGCAAAGUAGGCAUCAUACAGAUUCAUAUGCCCUCGUGCCCUAUUUUGAUUCAACAGUCGAUGCCCCUUUGUUGAAAUCUUGAAGUUGAGUACAUACUCCUCCACAAUCUCUAUUUCUUCAAGAAUCCUCCUCACCAGCCGUUUCAUCGCCAUAUUCCUCAUCAUCCGACAAAGAUCCAUGAACUCGGCGUAGAAGUACUCCUUGUCUGAAUCCAUCAUGUUUGUUUCAAAGUAAAGAACGAGAACACCAAAAUAUUUGGCGAUGACAUUUGAAACACUUGCCAGGCAUGUUGUCAGUCAUGGACAACGAUAGCAGCGCGGAGGGUACCUCGUCGACGGUUCGAUCUAGAUAUGAAGGCAUGGGCCAAGGCAGAAACACUUGGCUGGAGCGACAGAGCACCGAUAAGACUUGGACGCGGUCCGGGAUGGUACAACAUGGGCGGCGGUCUCUCAGAGCAUGCAUAGAAAGUGCAAAAGAGGGACACUAAAAAAACGACAACUCCAAAUGGGAUUUUUGGUGAGCCAGGGUUGUCAUAGUUUGACGUGACAUACGUUCAAACCCUUCCAAAGCUCUGUCAAUUUGGUUUCGGUUGAAAAAAUUCGGACGUUCGGAACGGUCCGGACAUUUUUAUACUUCACACUGAUUGUAUAAAUUGUCCGGACCAAUCGACCCAAAUAUUUACACGUGAUUUGAUGGUCAAUGUUGUGGUUGAGGUUUAUAUAGUAUAAUCUAAUCUGUUUCACUUUCACCGUAUUAGCCGGAUACUAGUGAUUCUAGUAGUUUGUGUCGUCGAGUCAUGGAUAUAGAAAGCAAGAAAAUACAAUGUAAUAUUAAAAAUUGUUAUCUGAAUUGAGGGUAACUCAUAUGGUUAGAUUUUUUGUGAUGAAGUCAAUCCGAAAAGUUAUAGAUUUGGCAAUGAUGUUUGCAUUUUCUUUAUUUAUCUCAGACUUUUUGAAGAUGUUCGUUACGAAAUAUCUGCGAUUACUUCGUCAAUUUUAAGAUAUGAUGCCGGUCAAUAUCUCAAACAUACUCAUAUGGAUACAUAUGGAUGAAUGAGUAUACCGCGUGUACAUGAGCAUCCGCGUUUGUACGUCAAAAAUAUUUUGGUGCGCCGAAAAACAGGCCAGACGUGGGAUUAAACAGAUACCGUGAAUCACGAGCGCAUGUUCCAGAAGAGCGCCACGAGUAACCGCGAGAGGCCACGCGUCCGUGGCGCUGGCAUACGUGUCGCGUCCGGUUCUCAGGUUCUGGUCGUCUCGCUGUCGAUCUGUUCCGAGGCGACUGGUUCUUCUCUGCUCCCUACCUCGGGCUUCAAAGAAUCAAAGUUCACUCCCUCGUUUGCCACCAUUGUACUACACGCAUAGCUUGCAGUGCUUGUGCAUUUCUCCGUAGCUUAGCUUGGCUAGCAGAGCAGAGGAAAAGGAGCAAAGAUGAGCAGCCACGAGACGCGCAAGUUCGUGGACGAGGUGCGGGGCCUGGAGAAGAACUGGAUGCUCGACCUCGGCCACCCCCUCCUCAACCGCGUCGCCGACAGCUUCGUCAAGGCCGCCGGGGUACCCAUUCUGCUAUGUACAAGUACUACAUUUGCUCCAGCGUAUGAUGCGUAAUUUGUGAAGAUAAUACUCCUGCCGUGACAGAUCGGCGCGAUACAGGCCGUCACGCGGGACUCCUACUUCAUGGCCAUCGAAGGUAACAAACCAUUCAUGCCAGUGCCAUUAGUACUAUAUAUAUACUACUGCGGCUGCCGGACUGUGUAGAGGGCUCACUCUGUUUUGGUCCUGGGUUAAUUUGCUGCUGCUGCAGGCGAGUCUGGGGGCACCGGAGCGGUGUCGGGCGCCACCGGCAGCAGCAAACGGACGUUCCCAGACCUCAAUGGUAACUCCACUUUUCACCAUCGGAACUAAUUGCCGAUUUGAUUUGUAUUUACUUCAGAUUGAUUCACGUAUGUUUCCUUCUCUUCUCUUUUUUGACUGGAAAAAGGAGGGACGAGCAACAGCAAGUCAGCGGAGGCCAUGGUAAGCAAGCAACGCCCACUUCUUGCUACCAAGAACACCGCCAUUUUGGCACUGUCAAUCCUUUCUCCUUAAUAAUGUUUUCUCUUGCUCUUCUCAGGUGAAAAGCGUCAGCAAGGAGUCGUUCCAGUGGGGUAAACAGUGCUCCCCUUAUAAUUUUGUUGAUGUUGUUGCUGGUUCUUGAGGUUGCCGAGCUUUGUUAACGUUGCACACUCGAUGCAGGGCUCGCGGCUGGGAUGCACUCCGGCCUCACCUACGGCCUGGCGGAGGUGCGCGGGACCCACGACUGGAAGAACAGCGCGCUGGCGGGCGCCGUCACAGGCGCGGCGGUCGCGCUGACCUCGGACAACGCUUCGCACGAGCAGGUUGUGCAAUGCGCCAUCACCGGCGCCGCGCUGUCGGCUGCCGCCAACGUGCUCUCCGACAUAGUUUAGGGAGUGCAUUCGUAUCAUACCACCCGAUGCCCCGGCGGAAGGCGAGCGGUAGUAGUAUGCGGAAUGGACUUGUUUAGGUGACGUGUUGUUGCGACUUGCGAGCGCACUUGUCCUGUGUUCCCUUCUUACGAUCUUUUUUUUUUCUUUCAAAACGGUCCUUCUUACGAUCUCGGUGUAGCCAGUUCAAAUAAUAACUGCCAUAUCUCCUUUCAUACAGAAAGGUUGGACGCUAUUCGCGGCGUCUUUGGUAGUGGUUAGGAUUUCAGGAAGAUAAAAAUUGGUUUGACCAAUGGGAAAGAGUGUUCUUUUUAUAAAAUCCGGUGUUUUAGUCGAUAAUCCACCUCUGAACCCAGACUCACAUGACCCUGGUGAACAGCAACGCCAUAAAAAAUUGAAAAAAGAUCUAAUGAAUCU